rnacentral:rRNA from 1 species
GACGAACGCUAGCGGCAGGCCUAAUACAUGCAAGUCGAACGGUAAGGUCUCUUCGGAGAUACACGAGUGGCGCACGGGUGCGUAACGCGUAUGCAACCUACCCUUUAGAGGGGGAUAGCCUAUGGAAACGUAGAAUAAUACCCCAUAUUAUGUAAGUAUCGCCUGAUACUAACAUGAAAGCUCCGGCGCUAAAGGAUGGGCAUGCGUCCCAUUAGCUAGUUGGUAAGGUAAUGGCUUACCAAGGCAACGAUGGGUAGCUGGUCUGAGAGGAUGAUCAGCCACACGGGCACUGAGACACGGGCCCGACUCCUACGGGAGGCAGCAGUAAGGAAUAUUGGUCAAUGGGGGCAACCCUGAACCAGCCAUGCCGCGUGCAGGAAGACGGCCCUCUGGGUUGUAAACUGCUUUUAUAGAGGACUAAAUAUGUGCUAUACGCAGAUUUGUAGGUACUCUAGGAAUAAGCACCGGCUAACUACG